rnacentral:snoRNA from 13 species
GAGCGGUGAGGACACCUGUGCUCCAAGUGAUGGUGGGGUCUAUCACUGCCGUCUGAUCUUUCAUUGGAUGAAAGUGAGCGCACCUGAGCUC